rnacentral:rRNA from 1 species
UACGUAGGUGACCAGCGUUGUCCGGAUUUACUGGGCGUAAAAAGCGCGCAGGCGGUCGUUCAAGUCGAGUGUGAAAGCCCCCGGCUUAACUGGGGAGGGUCAUUCGAUACUGCUCGGCUCGAAGACAGGAGAGGGAAGUGGAAUUCCCGGUGUAGUGGUGAAAUGCGUAGAUAUCGGGAGGAACACCAGUGGCGAAGGCGGCUUGCUGGGCGUGAUCUGACGCUGAGGCGCGAAAGCUAGGGGAGCGAACAGG